AUUUAAAUAGCUUAUAUAAUUAGAGCAUAAUAUUGAAGAUAUUAGGGAGAUUUAAAAAUCUUUAAAUA
rnacentral:tRNA from 1 species